rnacentral:lncRNA from 1 species
AAAGAAAUCAGCCUGUUCCACCUCUGGCUGGAAGGAGGAAGAAUGAGGAGAAAUAAAGAAGGAAGAUGAACAACAAAUCAGGAACAAAUAUAUGGUUUAUCUUUUCUCCAGUUUCUUAUUCAGUCCUGGCAGUGCAGAAGUAACUCAUUCCCAACAUUAAUAAAUGCUGCUGGUGCUUUAAAGUCAGGACCAUGAUUCCCUAGGGCAUUUCCCAGGAGUAAAAGUAAAGAGUGGAGGGACUGUGAGGAGGCCUGUCUCUAGGGAAGUGCUUUGCAAAGGUAGGACUGUCUGCAGUCCUGUGCCUUUGCUCUGCAAUUGGUAGAAGACAGAUGUAUGCUUUUCUCUGUAUGCCCUUCAUAGGAGUUGAUAAAACUGAGGUGAGGUACUGAAAUACAGGACUGGCUCAUAUGUCUACAGGUUGAAAACCUUGUAGCUUUGCUGAUAGGUGAGAGUAUAAAAGCACACUUCUGCAAGGCUUUAUCUGGAGUUAUUGACCUAGAGCUGAAUGAAGAUGCUGCCGUUUGGGGAAAUGUUUGUCAUGUGUCGACACAGAACAAAGCUGAAGAAAAGCUUCAGGUUAUUUUACUCUGGUUACAAGUAAACCUCAUGCACACAGAUUCCCUUCAGAUUUGUGUCAAUGAAUGAGCAUGUACGUUGUUGUUUGAUCAUAUGAGAAGACAUUCAAAGCGUUUGAUUGUUUCUACCUAC